rnacentral:rRNA from 1 species
AACGAACGCUGGCGGCAGGCCUAACACAUGCAAGUCGAGCGAGGACUUCGGUCCUAGCGGCGGACGGGUGAGUAACGCGUGGGAACGUGCCCUUUGCUUCGGAAUAGCCCUGGGAAACUGGGAGUAAUACCGGAUGAGCCCUUUGGGGGAAAGAUUUAUCGGCGAAGGAUCGGCCCGCGUUGGAUUAGGUAGUUGGUGGGGUAAUGGCCUACCAAGCCGACGAUCCAUAGCUGGUUUGAGAGGAUGAUCAGCCACACUGGGACUGAGACACGGCCCAGACUCCUACGGGAGGCAGCAGUGGGGAAUCUUAGACAAUGGGGGCAACCCUGAUCUAGCCAUGCCGCGUGAGUGAUGAAGGCCUUAGGGUUGUAAAGCUCUUUCAGCUGGGAAGAUAAUGACGGUACCAGCAGAAGAAGCCCCGGCUAACUCCGUG